UCUCUCUCUCUGCCUCUCCAUAGAUUGUUUCUGUUUCAUGCCCUGUCUCAUUUCGCAUAGCUAAAAAAGAAUGCUAAUUAAGAUCCCUUGUCUUAACCUGAAAAAUAAUGACUCGGCUGUAAUUAGAAAUCUGGUGAGAGUUUAAAAAUUCUGGUAGGGGACCAAAAACAUCAGUUACGGUGCUUAGGAAGAAAAUGAAGAAUUAUUUUUCUGAAAUCAAGAUGGAUCUGAGAACGCUGUCUGGGCUUGGUACCAAGAGCUGGUAUUUCACAGCAGCGACCGCCUCACAGACGAGCUGUGGGAAGCAGGAGGGAGACUCUCUCUUAGGGUGCCACUACUAUGGAGACACAGCUGGGCUGAACAAGAUUUGCUUCAAACGACAACAAGAGAGACAGAAAGUAUCUGGUUCAACCGCUGCCCGAGCAGGCAGGCACCAGAAGAGCUAGCAGCCAAUCCGGCCAUGCUCGAAGCCAGCUCUGCAGCUCAGCCAAUCAGUGACAUCAUUGCUUUCUUUAGCUUGCCCAUGGUGAUGUGAAGAUGAGAAGAAAUAGCAAGGCCCAACCAGUUCUUCAUCUGGAGACAGUUCAACGUUCUGCAAACCAGAUCUUCAGGAAUUUUACUGGGAUAAUUAUCCAAAUAAAUUGCAAGCAUUCUAUCCAAAUGGAGCUCUUUCUGAGAUGAAGAGAAUUCUCAAUGUCAAGAUUUGAACAAGAAGAGAAUGGAAUACACAAUAUGGACAUCCAUAAAAAUUCAUCAGAGAGCAUUUUACUACUGAGCUGCAAAGAUGACAAGAGCACCUCAAAGGCAGCAGCCUCAAGGAGCAGCCAUGGCCCCAGACUUGUCGCACGGAUGCAGAAAACUUAAUGGAGGAGGCUGAGGUCAGAAUGGGAAGAGUUUUUAAAAAAUAAAAAGGGGAGCUAAUAUGU
rnacentral:lncRNA from 1 species